rnacentral:lncRNA from 1 species
UCUUUUAUUUUUCCAAUCCUCUUUUCUUCCCAAGGUGUCCAAGUCACACAGAGCCACGGCAUCUCACAGGUGUCUGAGAAUUCCUCCUCCUGGGACUCUCAGAGGAUCCAGAACUGCAGCCUGUCCUCGCUGGGCUGUCCCCAUCCAUGUAUCUGGUCACAGUGCUGAGGAACCUGCUCGUCAUCCUGGCUGUCAGCUCUGACUCCCACCUCCACACCCCCAUGUACUUCUUCCUCUCCAACCCGUGCUGGGCUGACAUCGGUUUCACUUCGGCCACGGUUCCCAAGAUGACUGUGGACAUGCAGUCACAUAUCAGAGUCAUCUCUUAUGCGAGCUGCCUGACACGGAUGUCUUUCUUGGUCCUUUUUGCAUGUAUAGAAGACAUGCUCCUGACUGUGAUGGCCUAGGACUGCUUUGUAGCCAUCUGUCGCCCUCUGCACUACGCAGUCAUCGUGAAUCCUCACCUCUGUGUCUUCUUAGUUUUGGUGUCCUUUUUCCUUAGCCUGUUGGAUUCCCAGCUGCACAGUUAGAUUGUUACAAUUCACCUUCUUCAAGAAUGUGGAAAUCUCUCAUUUUGUCUGUGAGCCAUCUCAACUUCUCAACCUUGCCUGUUCUGACAGCGUCAUCAAUAGCAUAUUCAUGUAUUUCAAUAGUACUAUGUUUGGUUUUCUUCCCAUUUCAGGGAUCCUUUUGUCUUACUAUAAAAUUGUUCCCUCCAUUCUAAGGAUUUCAUCGUCAGAUGGGAGUAUAAAGCCUUCUCCACCUGUGGCUCUCACCUGGCAGUUGUUUGCUUAUUUUAUGGAACAGGCAUUGGCAUGUACCUGACUUCAGCUGUGGCACCACCCCCCAGGAAUGGUGUGGUGGCGUCAGUGAUGUACGCUGUGGUCACCCCCAUGCUGAACCCUUUCAUCUACAGCCUGAGAAACAGGGACAUUCAAAGCGCCCUGUGGAGGCUGCGCAGCAGAACAGUCGAAUCUCAUGAUCUGUUCCA